rnacentral:rRNA from 1 species
CCUACGGGUGGCAGCAGUGAGGAAUAUUGGUCAAUGGACGAGAGUCUGAACCAGCCAAGUAGCGUGAAGGAUGACUGCCCUAUGGGUUGUAAACUUCUUUUAUAAAGGAAUAAAACGAGGCACGUGUGCCUUUUUGCAUGUACUUUAUGAAUAAGGAUCGGCUAACUCCGCGCCAGCAGCCGCGGUAAUACGGAGGAUCCGAGCGUUAUCCGGAUUUAUUGGGUUUAAAGGGAGCGUAGAUGGGUUGUUAAGUCAGUUGUGAAAGUUUGCGGCUCAACCGUAGAACUGCAAUUGAUACUGGCAGUCUUGAGUACAGUUGAGGUAGGCGGAAUUCGUGGUGUAGCGGUGAAAUGCUUAGAGAUCACGAAGAACCCCGAUUGCGAAGGCAGCUUACUAAACUGUGACUGACAUUGAUGCGCGAAAGUGUGGGUAGCAAACAGGAUUAGAUACCCGAGUAGUC